rnacentral:misc_RNA from 1 species
GGAAGGAUCAAUAAUGUUUUGUUGAUGGAAUGCGACGUGGUGCAACCGCGUGUGGAUUUCAUUAGCUAUACCCAGUAUUGUAUGUAGUAUGUUGCAUGUUGCAAGUUGCAAGUUGCAAGUUGCAUGUUGCAUGUUGCAAGUUGCAUGUUGCAUGUUGCAUGUUGCAUGUGCUGUAAUGGAAAUUGCAUGUGCUGUAAUGGAAAUUACAUAUGCGGUAAUGCAAAUUGCAUGUACUAUAUAUGAUACAAAUAUAUGGUCGGUGGCCUGUGGGCUGUCGUAACUAUAAAAUCGUAUUGGUGUUGUGUGACAUGAAUUUAAAAUCUAAACAACUUUUAACAAUGGAUCUCUUGGUUCUCGCAACGAUGAAGAACGCAGCGAAAUGCGAAAAGUGGUGUGAAUUGCAUAAACCUGUGAAUCAUUGAAUCUUUGAACGCACAUUGCGCUCUGUGGUGGUGACACUGUGGAGCAUGUCUGUUUGAGAAUUGUUAACAAGAUGUGUGUGUUUGUGUGUAAAUAAAGUUGAUAUUUUAUUUGCAAUCGGCAUGCGCGAAUUGGGAUGUCAAUAUAAUAUUGCUUUGAAUAGGGUUUGUUUGAAUAGUAUUCAGAUGAAUAGCAUUCAGAUGAACAACAUUCUUGGCACGUUGGCAUCUUCAAAUACAUUGUCGUCAAAAAGGUGUGAUAAAUGGGCUGGGGCCCCUCACCAAUUGUGACUACUCAUUCUUCCAUUAUUGCAAUCUCAAAUCAGACAAGAUCACCCGCUGAACUUAAGCAUAUCAGUAAGCGGAGGAAAAGAAACUAACAAGGAUUCCCCCAGUAACGGCGAGUGAAGCGGGAAGAGCUCAAAUUUGAAAUCGGUUACCUUUGGUGAUCGAAUUGUAAUCUAAAGAAACGCAAUCGACGACCGGGCAAAGCCAAGUCCCUUGGAAAAGGGCGUCAGAGAGGGUGAGAACCCCGUUGGCUUUUGCUUUGGUGGCGGAACGAGGCGGCUUCGACGAGUCGGGUUGUUUGGGAAUGCAGCCCCAAAUGGGUGGUAAACUCCAUCUAAGGCUAAAUAUGGGCGAGAGACCGAUAGCGAACAAGUACCGUGAGGGAAAGAUGAAAAGAACUUUGAAAAGAGAGUGAAAAGUGUGUGAAAUUGUUAAAAGGGAAGCGAAGGUGUGUGUGAAUUGGGAGGUGGUCUGGCAGUUGUCGCAAGACACGCCAAACAUCCUUGCAUAAACAGUGGGAAGGGUAGAGGUUGUAAAACAAAGGAGUGGGCAAGGUGACAUUCAUUUCGAUGACUGUUUUAUAGGCCUACUCUCUAAUUCCAACCCAUACUCUCUUCCACGACAUGCAUCUACGACCCGUCUUGAAACACGGACCAAGGAGUCUAACGUAUGUGCGAGUAUUAGAGCGAUCAAUCUCUUAUGCGCAAUAAACGUAAAAGAAUGGGAACUGUCAAGCAGUGCACCAUUGACCGAUUUUCUUGUUCACAAGAGGAUUUGAGUAAGAGCACAUACGCUGGGACCCGAAAGAUGGUGAACUAUGCCUGGAUAGGGUAAAGCCAGAGGAAACUCUGGUGGAGGCUCGUUGUGGUUCUGACGUGCAAAUCGAUCACAGAAUUUGGGUAUAGGGGCGAAAGACUAAUCGAACCAUCUAGUAGCUGGUUCCCUC